GAUGAACGCUGGCGGUAUGCCUAACACAUGCAAGUCGUACGAGAGUUUUUAACUCUAGUGGCGGACGGGUGAGUAACACGUGAGAAUUUGCCUUUAGAGGGGGAUAACAAUUGGAAACGAAUGCUAAUACCCCAUAUGCUUUUGAGUGAAAUGGAUUUUAUCCGCCUAGAGAGAAGCUCGCGGCUGAUUAGCUUGUUGGUAAGGUAAGAGCUUACCAAGGCGACGAUCAGUAUCUGGUUUGAGAGGACGAUCAGACACACUGGAACUGAGACACGGUCCAGACUCCUACGGGAGGCAGCAGUGGGGAAUUUUCCGCAAUGGGCGAAAGCCUGACGGAGCAAUACCGCGUGAGGGAAGAAUGCCUAUGGGUUGUAAACCUCUUUUUUCAGGGAGGAAUCAAAUGACGUGUACCUGAAGAAUAAGCAUCGGCUAACUCCGUG
rnacentral:rRNA from 1 species